GACGAACGCUGGCGGCGUGCUUAACACAUGCAAGUCGAACGGAAAGGCCCUGCUUUUGUGGGGUGCUCGAGUGGCGAACGGGUGAGUAACACGUGAGUAACCUGCCCUUGACUUUGGGAUAACUUCAGGAAACUGGGGCUAAUACCGGCUAGGAGCUCCUGCUGCAUGGUGGGGGUUGGAAAGUUUCGGCGGUUGGGGAUGGACUCGCGGCUUAUCAGCUUGUUGGUGGGGUAGGGGCUUACCAAGGCUUUGACGGGUAGCCGGCCUGAGAGGGUGACCGGCCACAUGGGGACUGAGAUACGGCCCAGACGCCUACGGGAGGCAGCAGUGGGGAAUAUUGCACAAUGGGCGGAAGCCUGAUGCAGCAACGCCGCGUGCGGGAUGACGGCCUUCGGGUUGUAAACCGCUUUCGCCUGUGACGAAGCGGGAGUGACGGUAAUGGGUAAAGAAGCACCGGCUAACUACGUG
rnacentral:rRNA from 1 species